rnacentral:lncRNA from 1 species
AGAGCACAUACUCCGCUGUUUUCCCAUUAUAACUGCAGAUAUUUCAGCAAGGAAACACCAUGUCUCUCGUUGUCACCCUUUCCCCCUCUAUUUCAGAGUAUAAUGAGGGGAAAUACAGCUGUAGCUAUGAAGUCAACGUUUCCACUUGGGCAUUAGGGUCGGCUAAGACUAAUCUGAGUGUCAUCAUUAGAGCAUCCAUGGUCCCCUUCAUUGCCUCUGGAGGGACUAGUGGGCUGGUACUGCUGUCACUGCUUCUGGUUGUCCUCUAUCUAGUCAGGAGGAGGACACGAGGGAGCAGGAAUCCAUCUACACUUUACUGAUACCCAAAGACAGAAUCUGAACUUGAGUUACACAUAGAGAUUGGAAAGUUGAGUCAAGUGGAAGUAUUAACAAUUCUGUCUGAAAUGUUUUUGUUGAUGAAUCAUUUCAUUUGGAAGUAUUUUUUCUGUCAUCCAGAUUUUGCUGUUGGUAAUAUUAAUGAACCAGUUUUUAUGUGACAGGUAUCAAUACCAGAUACAACAGAGGGGCAGAAGAAGAGACUAUGUGAAUGUUGAAAUGUUUUUCACCAGAGAGGCCCUGAGAAAGUGAAUGAUGGUGUUAAAGGAGUUCUGUCUGGGUUUUAAUGUUUUAUAUUAACAGUGAUGAUGAUGAUGACGAAGACGAUGAUCAUGAUUACAUUAAUGUCUCCAUUCAGGACAAUUCUCAUGACAUAAAUAAGUUCAUUUAUGAACUGUUAGGAAAAUGAAUAGCAGACUUAUUUCUGACUCAAUCACAUGGAUUUGGCCCUUUAUAUGAACAAACAAUUACAAACAAUUAUGUCAUUGCUACAGCAAUGUUUGGUAAAGUAUAUUCAUAUAAUUU